rnacentral:tRNA from 1 species
ACGCGAUUCAGCCAACGGUAGGCUGGCGGUCUCCAAAACCGUCAAUGAAUGUUCGAAUCAUGCAGCGCCUACCA